rnacentral:rRNA from 1 species
UACGUAGGGUGCAAGCGUUAAUCGGAAUUACUGGGCGUAAAGCGUACGCAGGCGGUUGUGCAAGACAGAUGUGAAAUCCCCGGGCUCAACCUGGGAAUUGCAUUUGUGACUGCACGGCUAGAGUGUGUCAGAGGGGGGUAGAAUUCCACGUGUAGCAGUGAAAUGCGUAGAGAUGUGGAGGAAUACCGAUGGCGAAGGCAGCCCCC